rnacentral:misc_RNA from 1 species
GAAAUGCGAUAAGUAGUGUGAAUUGCAGAAUUCAGUGAAUCAUCGAAUCUUUGAACGCACAUUGCGCCCCUUGGUAUUCCAUGGGGCAUGCUUGUUCGAGCGUCAUUUGUACUCUCAAGCUAUGCUUGGUGUUGGGUGUUUGUCCUUUCCUUUGUGUUUGGACUCGCCUUAAAUUCAUUGGCAGCUAAUGUAUUAGUAAGAAGCGCAGCACAAUUUGCGUCUUUUACCAGUCACAUAAGCGUCCAGUAAGCACAAUUAACACUUUUGACCUCGGAUCAAGUAGGGAUACCCGCUGAACUUAA